ensembl:miRNA
AUUGGGUUGGCCCAAAAGUUCAUGCAUGUUUUUCCAUUACACGGAAAAACCCGAAUGAACUUUUGGGACAACCUGG